rnacentral:misc_RNA from 1 species
CAGUGUUCGCUGCCCUCACGGGUAGCAAACCUCACCCUUGUGUAUUAUAUCUUUGUUGCUUUGGCACGCCGCCUUCGGGCACUGGCUUCGGCUGGCUCGCGCGUGUCAGAGGACCCCAAACUCUGAAUGUUAGUGUCGUCUGAGUACUAUCUAAUAGUUA